rnacentral:rRNA from 1 species
CCUACGGGUGGCAGCAGUGAGGAAUAUUGGUCAAUGGGCGUAAGCCUGAACCAGCCAAGUCGCGUGAGGGAUGAAGGUCCUAUGGAUCGUAAACCUCUUUUAUAAGGGAAUAAAGUGUGGGACGUGUCCUUUUUUGUAUGUACCUUAUGAAUAAGGAUCGGCUAACUCCGUGCCAGCAGCCGCGGUAAUACGGAGGAUCCGAGCGUUAUCCGGAUUUAUUGGGUUUAAAGGGUGCGUAGGGGGCUUUUUAAGUCAGCGGUGAAAGUUUGUGGCUCAACCGUAGAAUUGCCGUUGAAACUGGGGGUCUUGAGUAUGUUUGAGGCAGGCGGAAUGCGUGGUGUAGCGGUGAAAUGCUUAGAUAUCACGCAGAACCCCGAUUGCGAAGGCAGCCUACCAAGCCAUGACUGACGCUGAUGCACGAAAGCGUGGGUAUCAAACAGGAUUAGAUACCCGGGUAGUC